rnacentral:rRNA from 1 species
UACGGAGGGGGCUAGCGUUGUUCGGAAUUACUGGGCGUAAAGCGCACGUAGGCGGCUUUGUAAGUUAGAGGUGAAAGCCCAGGGCUUAACCCUGGAAUUGCCUUUAAGACUGCAUCGCUAGAAUCGUGGAGAGGUAAGUGGAAUUCCGAGCGUAGAGGUGAAAUUCGUAGAUAUUCGGAAGAACACCAGUGGCGAAGGCGACUUACUGGACACGUAUUGACGCUGAGGUGCGAAAGCGUGGGGAGCAAACAGG